rnacentral:rRNA from 1 species
UAUUAGUUAGAUGGUAAGGUAACGGCUUACCUGGCGAUGAUAGGUAGGGGUCCUGAGAGGGAGAUCCCCCACACUGGUACUGAGACACGGACCAGACUCCUACGGGAGGCAGCAGUGAGGAAUAUUGGACAAUGGGCGAGAGCCUGAUCCAGCCAUGCCGCGUGCAGGAAGACUGCCCUAUGGGUUGUAAACUGCUUUUAUACAGGAAGAAACACUCGGGGGACGUGUCCGAGCUUGACGGUACUGUAAGAAUAAGC